rnacentral:rRNA from 1 species
AUUGAACGCUGGCGGCAGGCCUAACACAUGCAAGUCGAGCGAGCGGCGGACGGGUGAGUAAUGUAUGGGGACUGCCCGAUAGAGGGGGAUAACUACUGGAAACGGUGGCUAAUACCGCAUACUAUCGGAUAACCCAUAUGGGAUUAGCUAGUAGGUGGGGUAAAGGCUCACCUAGGCGACGAUCCCUAGCUGGUCUGAGAGGAUGACAGGCAACACUGGACCGAGAAAAGGGCCCAACUCCCUACGGAGGCGGCAGUGGGGAAUAUUGAAAAAGGGGACCAAGCCUGAUGCAGCCAUCCCGGGUGUAUGAAGAAGGCCUUAGGUUUGUAAAGUACUUCCAGCGGGGAGGCGUUCCCCGAAGAAAAAGCACCGGCUAACUCCGGGCCAGCGGCCGCGUUAUAC